AACACAUUAUUGACCCACACGAUCGGUCUAAAAAUAUAAUUUAACAAUCAUUAGAUGAUUCACUUUUGUACAUUCAAGAAAAACAUCAGAUAAAAAGCGGUUCAAGUAGAACUAGGUUCAUUGUUUCAUCCUUAAGUUUGUCAUGUCCUGGCCAAAGUCCAGCAAAGCAUCAGAUGUUAUGGCCAAUGGGUUUUGUUCAUGGUUUUUUCUCCUUUUUCGUUUUCAGCUGCGACUUUGAUCUUUAAGGACGGUGAAACUUACCCCCAAAAGAGUUGAAAUGAUAAGAAUAAUUCCUGUGAUCCAAGCAAGUGUACGCCUAACCAAUAACACUUGCACAAUUUUUGUAUUAUUCAGGCCUUCUUUUUCAGCCAACAAACGAGCAUAUGAUCGACUAGUAUACAUCACAUUCAACAUCUUUCCCGACUCCACAGGUGCAACUCCAUUGAAAAGGAUAGCUCCAACAAUUUGACCUGCAAAAUUGUUAAUUUAACAUUAUUUCUAAAGAUGAUGACGAAAAAUUUCAAAUGAACUAUUGAAUGAAGAAAAUAUAUAUUCAUAAAAGUACCAAAUAUAUGGCAGAUAUACACAUAAAAUUGGCAACAAUGUUUCUAGAAAGAACAAUUGCUUUAAAAGAACGAGAAUUAACUAAUAAAGUUUAAAAUCAAAAUGAUUACCUUUGUAGGCAUUUUCAAGUGAAUCAAAUAUCUUGGACAGUGUAGCAAGUAGUAGCUCCACUCCAUGUUGAGCUGCUCCAUCAGUUCCAUACUGCUCUUGCAAAACCUAUCAUAAGGUUUUGAAGUUUUUUUAUUAAGCUAUGGAACUCGAUGCAGACACACAAUAAGAAUAAACAAAAGAACACAGAGUCAAGAAAGUGCAUGCAUAUGAUUUGACUGCGUGUGCACAAUUAAUAUAUGCACAUAUAUCAAAUAUAUGAAAUUUAUGGAAUGCAGCUUGGAUACUAUAUUUUGAUAUACUCUUUUCUUCUUAAGGAGAAAAAAAAAUAUUUUAUUGAAUAUGUAUCAACUAAUCAAAGUGAAGAAGCAGCCUACAAAGCAAACAAACAGACCUCUAACCAGUAAAUUGCUAUAUAUGAAAAACAUAAAAUGCCCAAAAGUAUCUUUAAUUAGAAGCACAAAACAUCCCACAAGCUAACCAAAAAUGAACUUUAACACUGUGGCCUUCCAAUCCACAUGAACAAUAGAAUAGUAUAUCCCAAAUCCAGAGGGAGUCAAAGCACACAAUGAUGUCCAAAAGAAAAUUCCACCCUACAUACCUGCACUGGUAUAUAUUUAGAUCUUGUUUAUCCUUGUUCCUAACCACAAUUUUCUUUUCUCACUUUUAAACAAGUAGCUGGAUCCAUAAUCCAUAAUCACUUUUAAACGAGUAAUUAAUCUGUAAACUGAAAUUACAGUAUUACUAUUACACCAAUACUCCUCACUAUUUUACACCUAAAUUAAAGGACCUACUUGUUUCGGUAAAGACAUUGCACAUAAAAUUGACCAUUACACGAUGAAAUAGGUAUGUUGUAUUUUUGUGUUCGUAGUGAUGAUAGGGAGCUGGAUGUUAUGGAUACAUUCUACCUCUAGUGAACUACUGGUCCACUGCAAGCAUGUUUUGUUUCUUAUUAACAAGAACAAAACAAAAAAGAGCAUAAAAGCAAACAACCACACUUCAAAAUAUGUUCUUUAUUACUUGGACUCAACCCAUGUUUGAGCAGUGGGUUGAUGGUGAUAACCAUACCCCAAAAAGAGAAGUACCCCACAAGCAAAAAGAUCUCUAAACUAUAUUAUGCAUACAAGAAUGUGGAUAGUCUAAGAUUUCCAGAAUCCAUAAAUUUUCAGUACCGUGGAGUUCCACAAAUGAAGUACAAAAAACCUUCGAAGGAUACUCUUAACAGAAGAGUACAUUAUCACUUAUAUUAACCAAUGUUUUAAAAGGCUCGCCUUAGAGGCCACCAAGAGGGUUGCUGCCUUUGUUUUGAGGGAGUGGGCGGAAGACAUUGCCAGAGCCGCCUAGGCAGCGGAGGCGCGCCUCAGGCCGUCCAGGCAUCUCUGUUUGGCUGUUUUUUUAUUUAUUUUUUUAUUUUAACUCCCAAACCCAAAUUUUGGGUAGGGUUUUAACUGUCUCAUACCUCUUCCUUGCAUUAUCGUCUCUCUGCCUUUUUUUAUGAUUUUUAUUUUUUUAUAUAAUGGAUGUGUGUGUGCUGUCUGCGUGCAUUGUUAUAUGUCUGCUCAUUGUGCUUUUCAUCCUCAAUUAUAUAUAUAUAUAUAUAUAUAAUAUAAUAUAAUAUAUGUAUAUAUAGGUCGUACCCAGUGCACAAGGCUCCCGCUUUACGCAGGAUCUGGGAGAGGUGAAUGUCGGCUAGCCUUACCCUCAUUUAUGGAGAGGUUGCUCCCAAUAUGUAUAUAUAUUUAUAAUACAUGUGUGUGCUCAAGAUGAUUAUUGAUUAAUAAUCUUUUUUUUUAAUAUAAUAUGUGUACGCUCAGUGUAUAUAUUAAAACAUUUAGGUCCGUGAGGCUUCGCCUCACGCCUAGGUCGGGCUAUCCCUCUGACUCCUCACCCACGCCUCACGCUUUUAAUAAAUUGAUAUUAACUGAGAAACUGUGGCUUGCCUGUCACAAUAGCAAAAAAACAUAUUCCCCCCCCCCCCCCCCCCCACCAAAAAAAAAAAAAAAAAAACAACCCCCUACAUAUACGUAUGUACACACAGCAAAAAUACUUUUUGUUGGUUACUACUUUGCCACAAGCAUAUUUGCUGACAUCCAUUUUAAACUUUAAAGUCAACCAAAAAAGGAAGAAAACAACACCUUGAUUCCAUCAAAACGGCCUGUUAAUAACUCAGCUGGGCUAUGGAUGUUGUGUGACAAAUCUUGAUGCAUUUCUGUUGCCCUUUUAAAGUUGCGGAUGAGAGACAGAAGGCUAGUUGUGAAUAUCCUAUCUGAUUCCUGUAAACGUAUACGAUGCAGGCCUUCCAAUAUAAACCACCAUUUUACAACAUGUAUACAAUGCAUAUCAAACAAAAUGAACAUGUUAUAGUCAAUCUCAGAAAACCUUUGACAUAUGAAGCUUCAAGUUGUCGCCAUUGGCCAAAGGGAUGCUCAACUCUCCAUUUAGUGGUUCUAAUGUAUCAACAACAUAUGAACCACUCAUCCAAGCUGCCUAAAGAAGACAAAAAUCUUAACAUUAAAAUUAAAGCAAAAACUCAAGUUCAUUUUCAUGUAUACAAGAAUAAAAAAAAAGCAUGGCAUGUCGAAUAAAUGAACAUAAAAAACAAAACAUGAUAUAGAAUAUCUUCAAGCCAGACUCACAAAAUCUCCAAUCUCCUUGUCAGUAUAAUCUGUCGAUUGUUCAUCCAAAGAAAACACAGAAACUUCACCUUCAUCUGCAACAACACAUAUAAUGAACAAAAUUUUACAUAAUUCUGAAUGAGGAAUAGACUAAUAGUAAUGUCCUUGCACUAGUUUCACAAGUUACUCGUUUUGAAAGGUCAUAUACCUGGAAGCUCGAUGUCAGCUUUGCUUGAGCCAAGGUCAAUCUUGGAACUGUAGGCACUGCUGAACAUGGCAUUGUCUUUGACUACAAGAGCAUGAUCUGCAUGUAUUUUGACAUACAUGUUUAUAAUAAGUGCACAAAGUAAUAUAAUAAUGGUAAAAGUGUCAUAAGUUAGCAUGCAUUUUACUAUUUUAGAGACAAUGUUAUAUACCAUCAAUUCCUCCAACUUCAAGCGCAACAACAGCACGAGGCCUAUUGAAUGGAUUAGGCACGAGAACCUCAUUCAACUACCACAAAGCAACAACAAAAUAUGAUAAAUUAGACCUUGGGUUAACACGAUGGGGGUAACUAGAGAAAAUAACUUCACAUUACUUAUUAUCCACAACACCUUAGCUGAACCAACAGCUGAGAGGGCGGAAGAUGGUGCAAAUCCAAGCAAAACUGACACGGCUGCACUGACUUCUGAGAGCAACAUUGAGUCGGGCUGCGAAAGCAAAAGGCAAGUAGUAUUAGCAGAUAAACGAAGAAAAAUCUGCAGUAUUCAAUAUCUAGAUAAAACAACUGAAAAAAAUACCCCUUGCAGUACCAAAAUCAAAUAUAACAAAAUGAGGUAUGCUUAAAAUUCCGCCAAAAAAAUCCCAGGAAUCCCUUUUGGGGGAAACAAGAAAUAUAUUGGCACGAUCAAAUUUCUAACAAUUUCAAGUUCAAUUAGACUGAAUUUAAUAUGUGAAGUUGUGAACUUUAAAUAAUUAAACUGAAUUGGGGAAUUCUGAAUCAACAAGCAAUUGCGGGAAUUACCUUGACGACAUCGUUUGACGAAGGGUUACGAAGAAAAUGAUGAGUGGAGCUAUCGAUGAAGAAGACAGAGGCAGUACCAUCAGCCUGAUUCAAAAACGAACAAAACAGUAAUCAGAUCGGAGACCUAUCAUUAUCACAUCGAUAUAUAUAUACGCACACAGAUACAUAUAUAUAUAUAUAUAUAUAUAUAGAGAGAGAGAGAGAGAGAGAGAGAGAGAGAGGCGAACCUUAGCGUUGGAGGAGAUAAACGAAGCAAUGGUGAGUAUGUAGAAGCAGAUGGUGCGUGUGAGUAAAGCCAUGGGAGAGAGAGGAUCUGAUCUGUGGCUCUGCUACUUGGAAUGAGGAAGGAGGGGCGAACUGACUUGUCCUUUUGAUUUCAAGAAAGAAGCCGCGAGCGACGUCGUAUCAGUUUAUAUUCUGUUUUCUUUUUUUUUCUUUUUCUUUUUUUUUUUGUCAGAUAGUUUGGAGCUAAAACCUAAUCAUGAGGAGUAUUUAUGUGAGCAAAUGCUAGUCUAUGACUAUAAACUUACUAUUCACGAAGAGCGAGGAAGAGUUUCUCUUCAAGUUAUCAAUGAAUCAUGAAUUUUGUUUUAAUGGUCGUAAUUGUUCAUAUUCUUACUCACGCACUGUGUAAAAAUUAUUUAUGCAAAAAAUCAAUAUUUAUAAGAUCAUCUUCGAACUAUAUAAAAAACAUAUGGAUGAAGGAAUCCAGUAAAAGAAUUUAUAAACCGUUUAUCUAUUUGCUACAGUUAAUUUAUUAAACGAUCUUAUUUUAAUUGAAUUUUUGUAAAGAUGAUUUUUACAAAAUGAUUUAUAAUAUGAACUAUUCUGAUUAUAAAUAGAAUGUUUCGUGAAUUGGUAUAAAGUAUCUUAAAAGAGUCAAGCCUUUCUCUUUCAAAAAUAUCAUUAUGUCCUUUUUUCUUUUCUUUUUUAAGUUACGCCCUUAUGAUGAAUAUUGAAUGAAAACACUACGACUUACGGGCAUAAGCUUUGUUUGACACCAACGUGAACAAAUAAUCAAAAUUUCAUAGGGGAAAACGGCAAUGCUACGAGUAUCACGCAAAUCAAUAUUACAAGUGUUAAAAGUGGGAAGGCGUACCCUGAAAUGGAGAGAGGAUCCUAAGAUCCUCCAAUCAUAUCCGUUCAUCAUACAUCGCGUGGGUCAAUUUUAUCAGAUAUUGUUUAUAUUCAAUUUUAAAUGAAAAAAUUUACAAUAAUUUCCGACCAUAAUGUAUGAUGAAUGGAUGUCAUUAAAAGAUCGUCCUGAAAUGCAAGGCAAUAGUCGAAGGACUGGACGAUGAUGAAGAAAAGAUUGAAUUAUUUGCUUUAUUCAAAACUUAAAAGAUGGAAUUUAAUACACCAAAUACAUAUAUCAUAAAGAAUCUCCUCUGUAACUCUAAUCCACAUAAUAAUUGACUUAACAAACCAUGAAUCUUCUUACUUAUACACCUAGCGCCUAAACCAUGCUUUACAUUACCCUGUAUCGAACAAUCAACUUUUCCAUAAAGGUAAAUACCCAAUUCAUGUCAACCGUGCGUGACUGAGUGAGCGUCUGAUGGGCUCGAAAAACCUGAACCAUGUUCAAUAUCAUCGAUCAACAGAAUCCCAAUAAUAUUAAUCAAGGAUUCAUACAAGAAUGCAAUUACGUAAAACACAUCAGAAAAGGUUUAGCGGCAACCUGUGCCUGAAACAUUGACCAAGUAGCUGCCUGCCAUGCUCAGUCCAGCUUGACGUUAGAGUAGAGUAACGUAUCCCUCGUGACUGGCAUAUUCAGAAGGAAGCAUACCUACAUAAAGAACAGACACAAAACAGGUAAACAUCCUUCUAAUCACAAAACAGGUAAACACUUCAUUGACCCACAUGAUCAGUCAAAAAAAUAUAUUUAACAAUCGUUAGAUGAUUCACUUUUGUACAUCCAAGAAAAACAUCCGAUAAAAAGUGGUUCAAGUAGAAUUAGUUUCAUUGUUUCAUCCUUAAGUUUGUAAUGUCCCGUCCAAAGUCAAGCAAAGCAUCAGACAAAAAGUGGUUCAGGGCCGAUGGGUUUUGUUCAUGGUUUAUUCUCCUUUUUCGUUUUCAGCUGCGACUAUGAUCUUUAACGACAAGUGAAACAUACCCCCAAAAGAGUUGAAAUGAUAAGAAUAAUUCCUGUGAUCCAAGCAAGUGUACGCCUAACCAAUAACACUUGCACAAUUUUUGUGUUAUUCAGGCCUUCUUUUUCAGCCAACAAACGAGCAGAUGAUCGACAAGUAUACAUCACAUUCAACAUCUUUCCCGACUCCACAGGUGCAACUCCAUUGAAGAGGAUAGCUCCAACAAUUUGACCUGCAAAAUUGUUAAUUUAACAUUAUUUCUGAAGACGACGACGAUGAAAAAUUUCAAAUGAACUAUUGAAUGAAGAAAAUAUAUAUUCAUAAAAGUACCAAAUAUAUGGCAGAUAUACACAUAAAAUUGGCAACGAUCAUUCUCAAAACA
rnacentral:lncRNA from 1 species